CCCUUAGAUGUUCUGGGCCGCACGCGCGCUACACUGAUGCAUUCAACGAGCCUAUCCUUGACCGACAGGUCCGGGUAAUCUUUGAAUCUGCAUCGUGACGGGGAUAGAUUAUUGCAAUAUUAAUCUUCAACGAGGAAUGCCUAGUAGGCGCAAGUCAUCAGCUUGCGUCGAUUACGUCCCUGCCCUUUGUACACACCGCCCGUCGCUCCUACCGAUCGGGUGUGCUGGUGAAAUGUUCGGAUCGGCCGUUUGUCGCGGUUUCCGCGUCAUGUGGCUGAGAAGUUCAUUAAACCCUCCCACCUAGAGGAAGGAGAAGUCGUAACA
rnacentral:rRNA from 1 species